GGGGUGCUCGAGUGGCGAACGGGUGAGUAACACGUGAGUAACCUGCCCUUGACUUUGGGAUAACUUCAGGAAACUGGGGCUAAUACCGGAUAGGAGCUCCUGCUGCAUGGUGGGGGUUGGAAAGUUUCGGCGGUUGGGGAUGGACUCGCGGCUUAUCAGCUUGUUGGUGGGGUAGUGGCUUACUAAGGCUUUGACGGGUAGCCGGCCUGAGAGAGUGACCGGCCACAUUGGGACUGAGAUACGGCCCAG
rnacentral:rRNA from 1 species